UACGAAGGGGGCUAGCGUUGCUCGGAAUCACUGGGCGUAAAGGGCGCGUAGGCGGUCUUGCAAGUCCUGUGUGAAAUCCCUCGGCUCAACUGAGGAACUGCACAGGAAACUGCUUGGCUUGAGUUCGGGAGAGGGAAGCGGAAUUCCGGGUGUAGCGGUGAAAUGCGUAGAUAUCCGGAGGAACACCGGUGGCGAAGGCGGCUUCCUGGACCGACACUGACGCUGAGGCGCGAAAGCUAGGGGAGCAAACGGG
rnacentral:rRNA from 1 species